rnacentral:rRNA from 1 species
UACGUAGGGGGCAAGCGUUGUCCGGAUUUAUUGGGCGUAAAGAGCGUGUAGGCGGCCAAGCAGGUCCGCUGUGAAAACUCGAGGCUCAACCUCGAGAGGUCGGUGGAAACCGUUUGGCUAGAGUCCGGAAGAGGAGAGUGGAAUUCCCGGUGUAGCGGUGAAAUGCGCAGAUAUCGGGAAGAACAUCCGUGGCGAAGGCGGCUCUCUGGGACGGUACUGACGCUGAGACGCGAAAGCGUGGGGAGCGAACAGG